UUCAAGAUAGGAAUGGAUUUGAACUUGAUCCUUCAUAGGACAACAUCCAAAUCAGGCAAAAGAUCAUUGGUAUUGAUCAAGGUUUCUCAACGACUCUUUUGGACGUGCUUAAAGAUCUCAACGUCUCUCUACACACCUCUAUAAAAAGGAGUGAAGACUUGAAGAUCAGCAGAGACAGUACAACAAGUUAAAAGUGCCUAAACUCUGCCAAAUUUGUUUCACACAAAGCACUUUGAAUUUCUGUGUUGAUUUGAUAUAUCUUAGAAAUUCUUAAGUCUAGAGUCUCUCAAUUGCAUUGUAUUGUGAACACCACUGAUUGUAUAUCAAGUGUUCAAACUCAAACAAUUUUCUGUGUAAUUCUGUUUGAUUAGAAGUCUCUUGCUUUAGUGCUUGAGCAUAGGAAGUCUCUUGCCUGCGUGCUUGAGCAUUUGUGAAGUCUCAUACUAGGUAGUAUUGAGCAGUUGUAAUCUGUGUGAUUAUUUCUUAGUGGAAAUCUCCUUGGAAGUGCAAGGGGGACUGGACUACUUCCGGUUUGUGGAAGGAACCAGUAUAAUUGCUUGUGUCUCUCUUUCUUUUCUCUACUCUGUUU
rnacentral:lncRNA from 1 species